rnacentral:rRNA from 1 species
ACACGUACUGUGCGAACGUUAUUCGGAAUCACUGGGCUUAAAGGGUACGUAGGCGGCCUAUCAAGUCAGGUGUGAAAUCCCACGGCUCAACCGUGGAACUGCGCUUGAAACUGAUAGGCUUGAGGAAGACAGGGGUGUGUGGAACUUCUCGUGGAGCGGUGAAAUGUGUUGAUAUGAGAAGGAACACCGGUGGCGAAGGCGACACACUGGGUCUUUUCUGACGCUGAGGUACGAAAGCCAGGGGAGCGAACGGGAUUAGAAACCCCAGUAGUCC